GGCUAGGUAGCUCAGUUGGUAGAGCAACGGACUGAAAAUCCGUGUGUCGCCGGUUCGAUCCCGGCCUUGGCCACCA
rnacentral:tRNA from 5 species